rnacentral:rRNA from 1 species
CCCUUAGAUGUUCUGGGCCGCACACGCGCUACACUGAAGGAGGCAGCGUGUCUUAUCCUUAACCGAAAGGUUUGGGUAAUCUUUUCAAAGUCCGACGUGAUGGGGAUUGAUCAUUGCAAUUAUUGAUCAUGAACGAGGAAUUCCUAGUAAGCGCGAGUCAUCAGCUCGCGUUGAUUACGUCCCUGCCCUUUGUACACACCGCCCGUCGCUACUACCGAUUGAAUGGUUUAGUGAGAUCUCCGGAUUGGCACCAUCGAGGCUUCACGGCCUUGACGGAAAGUCGAAAAGUUGCUCAAACUUGAUCAUUUAGAGGAAGUAAAAGUCGUAACA